rnacentral:snoRNA from 1 species
AGCAGCCCGUCAAAUUCGGUGCCACUCUCUGUGGUUGGUACUGGCCCAGUUGGCUGCUACAGAAACCUCUGUAGUUCCUGAGCCCCAGCUCUCCCUGACCGAGCACUGGGCACGAGAACAACCUACAGACACUU